CAGCCGCCACGGGAAUACGGAGGGUGCAAGCGUUAAUCGGAAUUACUGGGCGUAAAGCGCACGCAGGCGGUCUGUCAAGUCGGAUGUGAAAUCCCCGGGCUCAACCUGGGAACUGCAUUCGAAACUGGCAGGCUAGAGUCUUGUAGAGGGGGGUAGAAUUCCAGGUGUAGCGGUGAAAUGCGUAGAGAUCUGGAGGAAUACCGGUGGCGAAGGCGGCCCCCUGGACAAAGACUGACGCUCAGGUGCGAAAGCGUGGGGAGCAAACAGGAUUAGAUACCCCUGUAGUCCCUGUCUCUUAUAA
rnacentral:rRNA from 1 species